AGCGAACGCUGGCGGCAGGCCUAACACAUGCAAGUCGAACGAAGUCUUCGGACUUAGUGGCGGACGGGUGUGUAACACGUGGGAACGUACCUUUUGGUUCGGAACAACUCAGGGAAACUUGAGCUAAUACCGGAUGAGCCCUUAGGGGGAAAGAUUUAUCGCCGAAAGAGCGGCCCGCGUUAGAUUAGCUAGUUGGUGAGGUAAAGGCUCACCAAGGCUACGAUCUAUAGCUGGUCUGAGAGGAUGAUCAGCCACACUGGGACUGAGACACGGCCCAGACUCCUACGGGAGGCAGCAGUGGGGAAUCUAGCGCAAUGGGCGAAAGCCUGACGCAGCCAUGCCGCGUGAAUGAUGAAGGUCUUAGGGUUGUAAAAUUCUUUUACCAGGGACGAUAAUGACGGUACCUGGAGAAAAAGCCCCGGCUAACUUCGAGCCAGCCGCCGCGGUAACAC
rnacentral:rRNA from 1 species